AAAAAACUUCGGUCACACAAUUUGUAAUCUGGAGGUCCUGUGUUCGAUCCACAGAAUUCGCAAAUCUGGAGGUCCUGUGUUCGAUCCACAGAAUUCGCA